rnacentral:rRNA from 1 species
UGCAUAAUGGUUAACUAAAAUUUAUAAAUUUUUUAUUCCCGAAAUAAAAGAGCUAAAAUUUUAAAUUUGUAGAAUAAUAUUUAAUGUUGCAUUAUUAUUUAAUAUUUAGUUUUAGAGGUGAAACGCUUACAAUUUUUAUGAUAUCUGGAUUUAAUUUAAAUGUAUUUAGUACAGGAAAUGAAUUAAAAAGUGUUAAGAUUUUUUAAAAAAAUUACUUUUAACUUUUUAUAUCUAGGAGUAUUUCUCCAUUUAAAAUUAUCUUGUCAUAAUUUUUUAUAAGUAAUGUAUUUAAUUUAGAUUUUUAAGAAUUAAAUUAAAAGUUUCUUUUUUAAUGUUAAAAUGAGUAUAAAUAUAAAUGUUUUUAAGGAACUCGGCAAAUAUAUAGUUCAACUGUUUACCAAAAACAUAGCCUUUUGAAUUUAUAAAAGGUGAUUCCUGCCCAUUGGUAUUCUUAACGGCCGCAGUACCUUGACUGUGCUAAGGUAGCAUAAUAAUUUGGCUUUUAAUUGGAGUCUUGAAUCAAAGGAAAAAUGAAUUUAAGCUGUCUUUAAAAUAAAAAUAAAAUUUAUUUAUAAGGUGAAAAUACCUUUUUAUAUUAAUUAGACAAGAAGACCCUUAGAGUUUAAAUUUUUGUUGGGGCGACAAAGUAGCAUAUAAACCUACUUUUUUUACACGAAAAAAAUUUUGUAAGAAUAAGCUACCUAAGGGAUAACAGCAUAAUAUUUUUUUUGUUUGUGACCUCGAUGUUGGAUUAGGAAUUUAGUUUACUAGACGUAAAUUAAAAAGUUCUGUUCGAACAUUUUUCUCCUACAUGAUCUGA